rnacentral:rRNA from 1 species
GCCUACGGGAGGCAGCAGCCGCGGUAAUACGUAGGGAGCAAGCGUUAUCCGGAUUUAUUGGGUGUAAAGGGUGCGUAGACGGGAAUGCAAGUUGGUUGUGAAAUCCCUCGGCUUAACUGAGGAACUGCAACCAAAACUACAUUUCUUGAGUGCUGGAGAGGAAAGUGGAAUUCCUAGUGUAGCGGUGAAAUGCGUAGAUAUUAGGAGGAACACCAGUGGCGAAGGCGACUUUCUGGACAGUAACUGACGUUGAGGCACGAAAGAGUGGGGAGCAAACAGGAUUAGAAACCCCUGUAGUCCUAGAG